rnacentral:rRNA from 1 species
UACGUAGGGUGCAAGCGUUAAUCGGAAUUACUGGGCGUAAAGCGUGCGCAGGCGGUGAUGUAAGACAGUUGUGAAAUCCCCGGGCUCAACCUGGGAACUGCAUCUGUGACUGCAUCGCUGGAGUACGGUAGAGGGGAUGGAAUUCCGCGUGUAGCAGUGAAAUGCGUAGAUAUGCGGAGGAACACCGAUGGCGAAGGCAAUCCCCUGGACCUGUACUGACGCUCAUGCACGAAAGACGUGGGGAGCAAACGAGGA